AGAGUUUGAUCCUGGCUGAGAACGAACGCUGGCGGCAGGCCUAACACAUGCAAGUCGAACGAGAACGGGUUUAGUUUACUAAACUGUCAGCUAAGUGGCGCACGGGUGAGUAAUAUAUAGUUAACCUGCCCCAAAGAAGAGAAUAAUUGUUGGAAACGACUUGUAAUGCUCUAUAUGCCUCUAUUACAUAAGUAAGCGAGGGAAACAUUUAUGGCUUUGGGAUGGGACUGUACGGUAUCAGCUUGUUGGUGAGGUAAUGGCUCACCAAGGCUAUGACGCCUAACUGGUUUGAGAGGAUGAUCAGUCACACUGGAACUGAGACACGGUCCAGACUCCUACGGGAGGCAGCAGUGGGGAAUAUUGCACAAUGGAGGAAACUCUGAUGCAGCAACGCCGCGUGGAGGAUGACACAUUUCGGUGCGUAAACUCCUUUUAUAUGAGAAGAUAAUGACGGUAUCAUAUGAAUAAGCACCGGCUAACUCCGUGCCAGCAGCCGCGGUAAUACGGGGGGUGCAAGCGUUACUCGGAAUCACUGGGCGUAAAGAGCAUGUAGGCUGGUUUGUAAGUUGGAAGUGAAAUCCUAUGGCUUAACCAUAGAACUGCUUCCAAAACUGCAGACCUAGAAUAUGGGAGAGGUAGAUGGAAUUUCUGGUGUAGGGGUAAAAUCCGUAGAGAUCAGAAGGAAUACCGAUUGCGAAGGCGAUCUACU
rnacentral:rRNA from 1 species